rfam:Thermogladius cellulolyticus 1633, complete genome.
GGGCCCGUCGUCUAGCCUGGUAUGGACGCCGCCCUCACACGGCGGAGGUCCGGGGUUCGAAUCCCCGCGGGCCCA